GGUGCCCCUGCUCCGCCCAGACAGGAUGUGGUGCCUGGCAUGAUCUGAAGUGGUGACAAAAAGGGGCAAGCGGGAUCCUGAGGGCUCUCCGCUAAUCAGAGAUGGUGUUUUUAAACCUUGGUUUUUGCUAAAUCAUCCGGAGUGAGAAAUCAAAGGCAGCAAGCUUGUGGCCUUUGUGGCAGGGCUUGUGGCCACACCAGGCUUCUGGCCUCAGGCCACAGGCACGAGUGUCCAGCCCAGCACCCACAGCCCUGGCCCUGGGCUGAUUUACCUCACGAUGGGUUGUUUUCAUAGCCAUCGGUCGGGAGUGUUUAAUAGCUGUUAGCACUUGUUCCUGCUGGAGGCAGGCAGGCCGCAGUGCAGGCAGGGAGGCCCCACACAUCCUUCCUGACAUCGUCAGCACCGCUGUCACCUGCGCAUGCAGGCCCUGAAAUCCAGAGACAUCUCUGAGAAAAAGCUGCUUCUCCUGGCUGCUGUGCUCACACAGUUCCUCAGCGUGCUUCUUACUCGAAAGCUCAAGGCUGAAACUUUGCUUUUUACAUCCCCAAAGCUACUUCCACUCUUGGAGAGACCAAGCAUGUUGCUGGAGCUUCGCAGUGCCUGCCCCACAGCCCCACUAGGCUGCAACAGAGCCAGGGCUGCGUGCAUCCCUGCUUUAGCCAUGUUCCCACAACUGGGCGCGGGGGGAAGAGCAUGGACUGAAAUGCAACGGCUUUGCUGGACUCUUAAAAGUCGCAGGAUAAAGAGUUUUCUCCUGCCCCUUCCGUCUGAGUGCUUGCAUUUUGGGUUCAGCAGCACCCAGCCCGUGGCACUAACAAGGAGCACGGAGGUGAGCUACUGCAGGCAUGUGUUGAGUUGCUCUCAGCUGACCAGCUCUGGUCUGCAACGAAGCCUCUUCCUCCCAGCGCACAGCUCCCACCUGCAGGGCGAGGGAAGUUACACCGUGCUGAAGUUUCAUAAAUACAAAGUUCGGUACGUAGCCCUUCAUCCCAACAGGACCAGUUUAUUGCAUAACCAGAUUUAAUUUAUGACUGCACUCACCUCGUCAUCCUCCAGUAGUGACUGGCGAUGGCUUGCAAAGUGCAUUGCUCAUGGCAAAAUGAAUAUGUGGUGUGCACACUCCUGUUUCCAACUGGGGUGUCCAGUAUUUUGAAGUUCCAGUCAUAGGUCUACUUAUAACAGCAGAAAAGGAAAAUAUGCAGAGACAUAUUUUUUCUUCUUAAAGGUGUAGGUUCCAAGUGCUUUAUUAACCAGGUUUGAACUAAAUUGUUAGAGCAAAUAGUUCAGCACAGCCCUCCCUUUAUUCCCUCUUGCACUAAGGAGAGAUUUUUCAUUUCAUAAAUCAUUCAGAGUCCACAGCAGUGACAUUGCCCUGCUCUCAGUACUUCACUCCGAGCACUUUACAGAGAGCACAGUGGCCAUGCACGUCGUGCCCGCUGCUGUCACGGACCUGGCAGCAAAGCAGGUGCAAUCUCAGCCGGGGGAAAAGGAACAAGUUGUGGUUACACUAACUGCUCUUUGGAAGUUUCACCUUAGUGUUUUGUGCACAGAUUGCUUUUCCAAUCUACAUCACAGACUGCAGCACCAAAAGUGAUUACAUUUCUGUCCUAAAAAAAACAAAUAGAACCGAUGAUGUGAGUGUAUACGUUCUCAGAGGGUGCUUAUGUAUUUGAAAAUGCCUGUAUGCAUUAUAUUACAUUUAUCCUAACAGAUUUUGAAAAACGUCCUCAUUAAGAUUUAUCUUUUUGCACUGAUGGAGUUACUUUUCUCCAGCCCAGGAAAGAGAUUCUGUGUUGAAUCUCUGCCAGGUUGCACUGUCAUACCACGAGCUCCAGGGAAGGUGAAAUUAUUCGUAAGGCUCAUUCUGCUCUGACUGAAACCAACAGCAUCUCCUGCUUGCAGCGAGAGCUUGCACAGGUGAAACCUCUGUCAGCAGACAACAGGAAGCGAGUGUUGGACAACAGCGAUCUUCAGGCAAGGACUGCCAGCAGUUGCCUCAGCUCAGCCCCAUCCCGAGCCACAUGCUGUGGAGAAGGUUAGCAGAGCCCCACAGCAGCUCCAAGCAGCACAGAGAAAUUCAGUGGGUGGACCAAACCCAUGUCUUUGUCAGUUCUCUAUUGAUUGCAGGCUAAAUCAAAUACAGUAAGAGGAAAGAGCAAACAGAACUGAGUUGGCCGAGACAAUAUUUCCAUGCCAAGAGAGGCUCUUACUCCUGUCACUGUCACAGCUCUCUGCAUUCAGGCCGUUCUCUAAAGCAAACGUGGGGGUUUUCCACCAGCUGGAAGCUCAGGCUGGGUGGUGCAGAGGACCCACACCUCCAGGUCACUGCAUUCCAUCAGUACUGGAUGGGUGACCUCUGAGGGCCAGCAGUGUCCCACAGGCACCUACAGAGAACCAUUCCCCUUGGCUGGCAUGCUCUGGCAGCCCCACUGGUUGGGCAGUCAUGUCCCACACAUGGCUGAACCCUCAACACCAGGAUCACGCUGAGAAGCAGGACAAGUUGCAGGAGAUGGCAUGUGGUGGGUUGCUACCCUAUGUUAAGAUAAAUAAAAAUGCCUCAGGCAACAUGACACGAAGCCUGCAAGGCUGAAAGGAAGGCCUUUGCCUCCCUUAUGGGGCUCCUGGCCCGUGGCUCACAGCCCUGCUGAGGUGGCAACAGCCAGGUGCGGAAUAGGAAGAGCUCAAGACUGCAGGGGUGUUAUCCUCCUUAGUGUCAAUGGGGAAAUUUAACCUGGAGAUGAAACUUGCUGCUUGAUUUGGGACAACGUGUACAUGAAGGGCUGCCGGCAGGCAUACAUGACUUUGGUCCCAAGUCUCAGCCAAGCUAAAGAGCUCCUGCAAAGUUGCUGCCUCAGUGGGAUCAGCUUCUAAAAACCAGCUGUGAGGUACCUCACACCUGAGCCCUGUGUCACUUGUGUGCAGCCAUUAUGAGUCCUGUGGGAUGGUGUCCACACACCCCGAUGGUUGUAGGGGCAGCAGCCUCACCCUGAGCCCCUCACUUGGAUGAGGUCGGGCUCCCCACUCCCUGGGACACUGUGCCUUUUUCCAAGGGAACUGCCCUCUAAAAUACAACUGAAUCCUCUCAAAAAAUAUUGGAAAAGAAAAAAAAAAAGCAUAUGAGAAAAAAAAUAAGGCACUACAUCAGUGCCUUAUUUUUUACCCAGUGCUUAUCACAAAUUUGCUUAUAGCAAGAAUGAAAGGAUGUUAGCAGUGUCUGAGCGAUUUGCACUCAUUUUUUGAACCUGUAGUUCAAAAAAUGUAAACAUCAGGCCAUUAAGAUUUAAUUGCCUUUUAUAUUCUCAGUGGAAGCUUUUACUAUGAACUAUUCAUAAGCAUGCUUAGGGCUGUUCAAAAAACCACGUUAGGGCCUUGCUUACAGAGGAAGGCACUCAGUUAGUUACAUUUUUGGGCACCUGGUUGCCCUGACCCAGCGGCUGCACAGACCCCAGCCCACCAGGGAGAGACCGGCCCAGAGGACAGGAGCAAGGCAGCAGGGCAGGGGCACCCAGGACCCAGAGUGGCACAUGGUGAGGACUUGGUGCCCGUCCUCUGCCACUCAGACCAUGCCAGGAGGGUCUUUACAGCCCGACACAGCACGUUGCUCUUUGGCUGCCAAAUGUCCAUGUUUGACCUCAACUUCCUGCUCUUGUCUGACAGCUAAAACCAGCAGAGCACUCCUGUCUGAAACUGUUUCCUACCCCCAGAGGAAAACUCAACAAAAAUACCCUUACUGAGGCAUUUUAGAGCAAAUUUUUAAGCAAAAUACAAUUUUGAUUUCGUCUUCGUUUAAUUUAAUUUAAUUAUUUGCCUCUCUGUGUUAUUGAAACUCAUCUUUCACCAUUCUCCCUGUAACAUUUUCCCCAGCAGUUCAACAAACACCAGGAUGUUCCUGGGCUUAAUAUUUUUUUCACGUGUUUUUCAAAAUUUCCCCAGUUUUUACUAAAAGUACAGAGAUGUAAAACUAACUUCUUUACUGUCCGAUAGCAUACAUAUGCUUUAACUGAGAAAUAGUUGAGAAAUUACUGAGUAAAAAAAAGAAAAGGGAAUAAAAGUAAGAGAAAUUAGGUAAUUCUAGAUACCACUCAGCAUGUUUUAUUCAACAGAAAAAGGGGCAAGCCCCUGCGAAAUAAAAGGAAAGCAAGAUGUGUGCUGGUCCCUCGGCUGAGCCAUGUCUGGAUUACAAGCCACCUGCCUAUUAACUUCCAGGAAGCUGGGGUCAGAGAGUUUCCCAGAGCCUAUUCUUUUUUACCAGUUGUGUACCCUCAAAUGAGCGAGCCAUGUUUUACUUCUGAGGGAAUGCACACGUGUCCCAAACCUGACCAGGCCCCAGUAAUAACCACCUCAUCAGAGGUGUGAAACCCCUUCCAAUUAAGAGCCUGGAAGAGACUCAUCUGCCUUCAUCUGAGAGCAGAAAGGACAGAAGCUUGCCAAAAAUCUCCAUCUUUCUAUGAAGUCAUGAGGAGCUGAAAGUAGCUUUGAUGGAGUUAAGAUCGUGCCUUACAUGUGUUUAAAUGUCAGUCUUUACUUCCAGUGGCAGAGGUGCACAGGGAAAAAGUGUUCAUAGCAUCCCUAUAAAAAAGGAUCAUCACCUCUUUGUUCUAUACGGUUGGUGCUGCAUUAAUGCAGUCCAUCCACUGCUGCCACGAUGCAAGAAAAUCUAAUAACAUGAAACUAGAUCACUAAUUUCUGACCUCUUAGUUCUCAGUUUCCACUGAGGAGUAAAGAGCUGUUUUACUGAAGCCUUUAUAAAUUACAUUCAGUGGAAAUCAUACAGGAAAACUCAUUCAGAAGGCUAUUUCUUUACAGAGAAAACACAAUACUGCCUCAGCCUAGAGGAGCAUCGGGAACAAUACAGUGAGCCACUGGUGCUGCAAUCCAGAUCACCCGCCCAUAGGCAGCACCGCUUCUCUGGAAAAUGGCACCCACCAGUAGCCUCAGAGAAACAGAAACCUCCAGAGAGCCAGAAGAAUCGGAACCAGUCCUGCAGCUACAGCUCCUGGCUUACCCAACGUCGUGGCCGCAGCGCACUUUCUCUGUUUUUAGCAGCCCUGGCACUGCACCGCCACAGAGCACACAUCCACUCCCAUCCUGACACCCUGCAGCCCAGCUGGGCAGGGCAAGCAGCACUGGGGCACAGCUGGUUUCUUGCUCCAACCUACUUAGCUGAGUACUUGUACAGUUCCUGUCCAGGCACCAUCUCAGCUCUACAGGCAACUAAAGGUGAGCUCAAGGGGAGAAGGGUUUAAUUUUGCAGGAGAACAAGUAGUACGCUGAUACUGCCCAUGGACUCCAAUAACCAGCCAAGCCAGCACUGGGCAAUCAUCCCUCGUUCUCCUGAGCACGUUUUGCCUGGUUGGGCAGCACUGAGAUCAGAAUUGCAUCCAGGCCAAAGGGUGAAGAUGCCGUAUCACCACUAAAAGCAGAAGGAAUGCUUCGGGUAAAACAAUUCUGAGAAACGUGUUUGUGAAAUAGUUUAAGGUCCCUCCACUUAAGAUGCAACAUGCAGUCUUGUAUAUGCAAUUCUAAAGAGCUUAUAGCUCAUAUACAGAUUUCAGUCAUCCCACAGCACUGUCACGUCUUAUUUCCAGCACCUAGCAGACACAUGUAUGGGUGAGCCUGUGACACUUUCGAUUUGCAACAGGUACAAACUUAGCUUGGUUGUCAGACCGAGCUGAGACGCUCACCCAGCAAACCACACCAUUUUAUACAGAGGACAAGAAACUAUUUCACCUAUCAAGAAACUGUGAUCUUGCUGAAAAUUCUUUUUUUUCCUCAGCCCUACUCCUCCCCCGAUACAGUAAUUUGGUGCAUUAUGUGUGCUUUAAUAAAGAAGAAAUGAAACCCCAAACUGCGGCUCAAGUACAGAAGGUUCAUCUGUUCUGGCUGCUGAGAGAUGUUUAUUUACAGCAUCCGCUGGGCUGCCCGGGCAGGAGAUGCAAGGAGACAGCACCUAAGGUUCCAGAUCAACUACCAAAAAUCAAAUAGAGGCCCAAUUAUCAUCCAAAAAUUGGGUGAGGUCAACAGCCCCACCUGAAGGGUAUUUUUCCUUGAAGCAGCAGUUCAGGACAUAAUUUGCUGCCUACCAUAACCAUAAUGUUAUUUAAAUUGAGUUCCUUCUGAAUGUAAUUUACUGCCAUGGUUUAUUGAGCUUAUUUUAACACUACAUCGGGAGAUUAAAUAUUAAACUAUCGUUUUAACUGUUUUAUAAAGGUUACAUUAGUACAUUCCACUUCUUUAUUGCUCUGCUGAAUGUCAAGGUGCAGAGCACUCAGCACAGCCCGAUGGUGACUGGGAGAAAUAAAGGUCACGUCCUGUACAUCUGCUUCAAAAGUUCAGCCUCUGCUCUACCCAGAAAACUGCCCACCAAUAAAUGCCUACAACGAAUUAGGAAAAUAGGGGUCAUCUGCACCCAGAGCACCAGCAGCACUAGAGCAAUGUCUGACCUUGGGGCAUGUGGGGGCCUUCAGGGCUCUCCCGUUUUGACCUCAGCAAUGUUUGCAGCUCCCCAUGCCCACGCCAUGAAAGCAAAGGGCGCAGUGACAGCGCUCAUGCUGGGAGGCCGCAGGGAGCUGCAUGCAUGGGGGUGAGGUGUGUGGUCACUUCUCCCCUUGCACAGUCACCAGGGGUGUGAUGGAGAGCAGAAAUGAGAAAUGAGAAACCCAGGCACAGUGCAACAAGGUGGGGCUGGAGAAACCCCGAGGCCGCAGGGCCUUCCGCACUUUGGCUGUGCACCACGGAGCCCUGGCAACAGCUCGCACACCUUGCACCUCCAUGACGUGGUUCACGCUCGGGUGCUGUGAGGUUUGACACAAACACACGGCCGACCAACGGCAGAGCCGGGGCAAAGAGUGAGGCCCCUGCUCCCAGCCGGGUGCUGGAGGCUUUUAGCACCUGACUGCAACACAGCCCCCAGCUGCCCCAGCCGCAGCCAGCCCUGCUCCAAGAGAGCAACGGGGCUCUCUGCAGUGAGGAAGGAGCAUGUGGUUCUAUACUUCUUUGGAUUUUUUUUCCAUUUUCUUUCUGUAUCUGACUUAUCUUUCUACUUUUCCUUCCUCAUCUUCUCCACAAGCUUUCUAUCCGUGCACUUUCUCCAGUACAAUGGCCUGCUGCUCUUUAAUGCGUUUAAAUGUGAGGCGUUUAUCCUCAGUUUGAAAUCUUGAGUAACUUAAGACAAUUCUCAGAGAAGACUUUCUGGUUGAGUUUCAGAGAUCCAGAAGUCAGUUCAGGGUCAGGUUUAGGCCUCCAGAACUGCACAAGACAGAGCUAAAAUUCAGUAGAUGUCUUUUCUUCUGUGCAAUUUGUUCUUUGUUACAACAACACAAAGCA